GACGAACGCUGGCGGCGUGCUUAACACAUGCAAGUCGAACGGAAAGGCCCUGCUUGCAGGGUACUCGAGUGGCGAACGGGUGAGUAACACGUGGGUGAUCUGCCCUGCACUUCGGGAUAAGCCUGGGAAACUGGGUCUAAUACCGGAUAGGAGCCAUUUUUAGUGUGAUGGUUGGAAAGUUUUUUCGGUGUAGGAUGAGCUCGCGGCCUAUCAGCUUGUUGGUGGGGUAAUGGCCUACCAAGGCGGCGACGGGUAGCCGGCCUGAGAGGGUGGACGGCCACAUUGGGACUGAGAUACGGCCCAGACUCCUACGGGAGGCAGCAGUGGGGAAUAUUGCACAAUGGGCGCAAGCCUGAUGCAGCGACGCCGCGUGGGGGAUGACGGCCUUCGGGUUGUAAACUCCUUUCGCUAGGGACGAAGCUUUUGUGACGGGACCUAGAUAAGAAGCACCGGCUAACUACGU
rnacentral:rRNA from 1 species